GCAACCACGGACCAAUUCCCCACCAUUUAAGAACUUUCUAAUAUUGCAGCCAAGCGCUGCGAAGACGAGCCACCGCCUUCCCACUCGAACUCUGGCGUUGCGAUGACCGUAGACCUGUGAGUCCUAUCCCAUGCUCUGGUUCCAGUGCUCCCUGCUUGCAAACGGUCUCUUGGCGUGUGCCCAAAAACUUUUACUAAUUGCUACUCUGGUGAAUCAUUGGCUUUAUUCUGUUAUUUCUGAACUUUUGACAGUUCUAACCUAUCAGCCUCUCAGGAAUCUGACCUUUAACCAGCCCACCUGCAAUUACCUGGUCUCCAUAGUGAGAGACUCCGGCUCUACCCCCAAAGCAAGGUGACCUUGGGGGAAGGAUCCUUUCCUUUCAUAAUAACGUUUGUCUUGUCCAGUCCCCUCCCUCUUCCCUCACCCUUAUGCCCCCUCACCCCCCAUUUCUGCCUAUAAAAGUCUUCCUCUCGUGCAAUUCCUGGGAGCUCCUUUCCGCUUGCUGGAUGGGACGCUGCAGCAUCGGUAACCAAAUACAGUCAAUGAGAUCUUCAAAUCCACUCAGUGGAAUUGUGGUUUUUAACAGUAAAAAUCAUUCUCCAAAAGGUGAUGGUGGAGGUGGCCUCUCAUUGGCUGGCGGCUGUUGCCAGGUAGAGAGGAAAUCUUCCUUCUUCCUUCCGCGUGGACUGCAGGAUGCGGCCAGUGAUCCUGACCUCCGUGGAGGAGCCCAGGUCUGUAGGGGUUGCCCCACCCCCAGCUCCAAAGCCACCGGAGAGAAAUAACACGCGGAACCAGCCCUGGGUGGGGUGGUGUCAGGAAACGGGGGCGGGGGGUGCCCAGGCCAUGUCCGCUGUGGUCCGUUAAUCUCUCCAGGCCCUGAUCUGGAUUUUCUUCUGAGACUCUGGGUUGUGGGAGCUCGCUAGUAACUGGGCAAAGCCAGGAGAUGCUGGCGCAAGAAAGGAAAUGACUCAUUCGGUCAGCAGCCCAGACUGCAGGGCCUGGCAGCAGCCAAGACUGCGGGCUGACCCGAGCUGCCCUGCAGGUGGCCUGCACAAGCAUCCAGCGCCCGAGAGCUCGGUGCCUGAGGAUCUCUGGCGCAGCGCACAGCCGUGGCCCGAUGACCACGCUGCACCUGACCUGGAAAAUCAAAUACCCAGGACAUAUGUGUCAAGGGAAUGCCCGGUGAAUGCGACAGACCAGAAAUGAGAUUGUGACCGUCUCUAAACCACACCUGAAAGCCCUGCCCACCGCGAGACCACCCCCAGGCGCCUCCGGGCGGCGCUGCUACAGGCCAAGAUGCCACGGACACACAGGCCAGCCCCGAGGGCCUUGGACUUGUGCACAGAAGUGCUCUGAGCGGCCUCUCCCUGAAGCAGUCAUGCCGCAAAGCCCACUCCUGGCGGACUGGCCAAGGAGUCAUUCCACACCACUCAAAGUCCCCCACAAGGAGCUGAGAAUGUUGCAGAACCAUUUGUGGAGGCUGGCUUUUGCUGUUGGGUACCACUUCCCAAGUGCAAGUGCCAGCCACCCUUCCUCCCAUCUCAGCGGCUCUCCAGCAUCCUAGAGCGCUCAGAGGGUAGAAACCUCAGAGAAGGGAGAACGGUGUUCUUCAGACAGCCAGCAGGCCCCACGGCAGGCCGUGGAACAAUGUCGUGGGUCACAACAGCCAGCGUUCUGAUUGUCGAUGGGGAAGAAUGGAGAAGAAAAGCAUCUCCACUCCCACAUGGAGG